rnacentral:rRNA from 1 species
AACCUUUAGCCAAACAAGUAUUAAAGGCAAUGCCUGCCCGGUGAAUAAUUAAACGGCCGCGGUACCCUAACCGUGCAAAGGUAGCGUAAUCACUUGUCUAUUAAUUGUAGACCCGUAUGAAAGGCAAAAUGAGGGCCUAACUGUCUCUUAUAAUAAAUCAAUUAAACUGAUCUCCCAGUCCAAAAGCUGGAAUUCUAACAUAAGACCAGAAGACCCUGUGAAGCUUAAACUAAACUACUAAAACUAGUAGUAGCUCCUUUCGGUUGGGGCGACCUUGGAAAAUAAAACAACUUCCAAAUAUAUGAAUCUCAUCAUUCAUACUAAGGCUUACAAGCCAAAAAUUAGACCCAGCACAGCUGACCAUUGAACCAAGUUACUCCAGGGAUAACAGCGCUAUCCUCUUCAAGAGCCCAUAUCAAAAAGAGGGUUUACGACCUCGAUGUUGGAUCAGGACAUCCCAAUGGUGCAACCGCUAUUAAAGGUUCGUUUGUUCAACGAUUAACAGUCCU